rnacentral:rRNA from 1 species
UACAGAGGUCUCAAGCGUUGUUCGGAUUCAUUGGGCGUAAAGGGUGCGUAGGCGGCGCGGUAAGUCGGGUGUGAAAUCUCGGGGCUUAACUCCGAAACUGCAUUCGAUACUGCCGUGCUUGAGGACUGGAGAGGAGACUGGAAUUUACGGUGUAGCGGUGAAAUGCGCAGAUAUCAGGAGGAACACCGGUGGCGAAGGCGGGUCUCUGGGCCGUAACUGACGCUGAGGAGCGAAAGCAUGGGGAGCGAACAGG